UACGUAGGGUGCAAGCGUUGUCCGGAAUUAUUGGGCGUAAAGAGCUCGUAGGCGGUCUGUUGCGUCGGCUGUGAAAACCCGGGGCUCAACCCCGGGCCUGCAGCCGAUACGGGCAGACUAGAGUUCGGCAGGGGAGACUGGAAUUCCUGGUGUAGCGGUGAAAUGCGCAGAUAUCAGGAGGAACACCGGUGGCGAAGGCGCCACUCUGGGCCGGUACUGACGCUGAGGAGCGAAAGCGUGGGUAGCAAACAGG
rnacentral:rRNA from 1 species